CCUUGUUUAGGUCUCAGUGGGAACGUCUGUGUGAGUUUGGAUUAGCUUAUCAUUUCAUUGAAGAAGACCCCUGUAUAGACAUUAUCACUGAUGCACAAAAUGUAUAUUUUUGCUACAGCUGUAUAUUUUUAAUAAUGUUUAAAUGGUCAUUUUCUAUGGGUGCAUACCCUAAUAUAAUAUAUAUUUGUGAUUGGUUACAAUAGUGAUCUGUGACGGACCACCUGGCACUCCGACUGGGUGCCUCCGCCAAUCACUGCUUCCUAGUACCUCUGAGUACUUCCAAGCACCGCACCAGACACCAUCAGCACUGUAGUCCCCACUUCCAGUGUUACAGCUUGGCUGGGGUCUCGCUGUCCUCCACCCACCCUAGGCCCAAGACCAGCAUCCAGCUUCCAGUGGGUAGACCUCUCCUCCAAGAGAGUGUAGCAAUAUGCUCUUUAAAAAGCAAGUGAUUAUAAUCCCAGGGGAGUAUAGUGAUAUAGCAAUCCCCAGGGUAGAUACAGCCGUUUCCC